rnacentral:rRNA from 1 species
GUAGGGGGCAAGCGUUAUCCGGAUNUACUGGGUGUAAAGGGAGCGUAGACGGCUGUGCAAGUCUGAAGUGAAAGGCAUGGGCUCAACCUGUGGACUGCUUUGGAAACUGUGCAGCUAGAGUGUCGGAGAGGUAAGUGGAAUUCCUAGUGUAGCGGUGAAAUGCGUAGAUAUUAGGAGGAACACCAGUGGCGAAGGCGGCUUACUGGACGAUGACUGACGUUGAGGCUCGAAAGCGUGGGGAGCAAACAGGAUUAGAUACCCUGGUAGUCCACGCCGUAAACGAUGACUGCUAGGUGUCGGGUAGCAAAGCUAUUCGGUGCCGCAGCUAACGCAAUAAGCAGUCCACCUGGGGAGU